GAUGAACGCUAGCGGCAGGCCUAAUACAUGCAAGUCAAGGGGAUAGCAAUAUCACCGGCGGACGGGUGCGUGACGCGUACACAACGUGCCCAAGGGCGGAGGAAAGCGGCGGGAAACUGCCGGUAAUACUCCAUGGUGUUGUUGAGUGGCAUCACUUAACAACUAAAGUACAAGCGCCCUUGGAUCGGUGUGCGUUCGAUUAGCUAGUUGGCGGGGUAACGGCCCACCAAGGCUUCGAUCGAUAGGGGGUGUGAGAGCAUGACCCCCACCACGGUACGUNGACACGACCGGACCUCUACCGG
rnacentral:rRNA from 1 species